rnacentral:rRNA from 1 species
AACGAACGCUGGCGGCAUGCCUUACACAUGCAAGUCGAACGAGACCUUCGGCUCUAGUGGCGCACGGGUGCGUGACGCGGGGGAAACUGCCUUUAGAUUCGCACUAACGCGCCGAAAGGGGUGCUAAUACCGGGUAUUAUACUCGGUACAACGAUUUAUCGCCUUUGGAUGGGCCUACGUCGGAUUAGCUAGUUGGUAGGGUAAAAGCCUACCAAGGCGACGAUCCAUAGCUGGUCUGGGAGGAUGACCAGCCACACUGGGACAGAGACACGGCCCAGACUCCUACGGGAGGCAGCAGUGGGGAAUAUUGGACGAUGGGCGAAAGCCUGAUCCAGCAAGGCCGCGUGAGGGAUGAGUGCGUGAGGGUUGUAAAGGUCUUUAUCCCGGGAGGAGAAGGACAGAACCGGAGGAAUAGGAUCGGGCAAACUCGGGC